CAGCAGCCGCGGGAAUACGGAGGGCGCGAGCGUUACCCGGAUUUACUGGGCGUAAAGGGCGUGUAGGCGGCCUGGGGCGUCCCAUGUGAAAGGCCACGGCUCAACCGUGGAGGAGCGUGGGAUACGCUCAGGCUAGAGGGUGGGAGAGGGUGGUGGAAUUCCCGGAGUAGCGGUGAAAUGCGCAGAUACCGGGAGGAACGCCGAUGGCGAAGGCAGCCACCUGGUCCACUUCUGACGCUGAGGCGCGAAAGCGUGGGGAGCAAACCGGAUUAGAUACCCCGGUAGUCCCUGUCUCUUAUAC
rnacentral:rRNA from 1 species